GCCGGGUGCGGUGGCUCACGCCUGUAAUCCCAGCACUUUGGGAGGCUGAGGCAGGAGGAUCACCUGAGGUCAGGAGUUCGAGACCAGCCUGGCCAACAUGGUGAAACCCCGUCUCUA
ensembl:misc_RNA Metazoa_SRP Metazoan signal recognition particle RNA